CUGCUGGAGAGAGUCCAGCGCAGCCACCAAGAUGCUGAAGGGAGUGGAGCAUCUCCCGUGUGAGGAAAGGCUGAGGAGCUGGGGCUCUGGAGCUGGACAAGAGGAGACUGAGGGGUGAUUCAUUAAUGUUUACAGAUAUCUAAAGGGGCUGCCGCAGCAGGUGUAAACAUGCAGCCGAGACCCCCACACAGAGCAUCUCGUGACAGGUAACCAGCAUUAGCCUAUUUCAGGGGUUUACAAGAAUUGAAGCACAAAAAGUGUCACACAUUUUGCUAUGGUGGAAUCAGCACCAUUUUGUUUUUAAAAAGGAGAAUUCUACACAAAGAGGAACACAAUGCAGUACAGACUGAAAAUCUUGUCAUUUGCUGCCAUCUACCAGCAGUGAAGAGCAAGACAGGAACCAAACUCUAAACCUGACUCACUUGCAAAUGGUCCCCAGCUGAUUUUGAGGAGUGGUUUCCCAAAGGAUGCCAAACCUUGAGAUAAAAGCAGCUUCUGCUCCCAUUGCCUGGUUAUUGCUGUUACCUGGGGAACACUGAAUACUCUGGCAGAAGGUUUGCAGCUCUGUAAGUUUAGCUGGUCCUUUCUAGCUUUUUUUUUUUUUACUUGUUUUCUGUUGAGUGUAAUGUACAUUAGUCUCUUCUAUCCUUUAAAGUAGUGUCUUACUCUUCCUUUAUGUUUGCCUUUUCAAGCAAAAUGAUAAACUUUCUUCUUUCUUUAGUAGCCAUCUUAUUUUCUGUGUUCGCUCAUCACACUUUCUUAUCCUAAAUUGCAUUCAUUUGCGUGACUUCAUUUUUGAAUAAAAAUUGUUAAGAUUUUCAGCUUUACAGGCUUCAAAUCUGUACAAGCUUCUUUAGGGCUGUUACUUUGCAGUCCUUAUUUACAUCAUAUCCAAAUAUACUGAAAACUUUUUGAAAGUUUAAUCUUAGCUAACUGUGAAAUAAGCAAUGGCCUCACUUCACCUCUUUUUUAAAUUUCCUUCUACAUAUCACUGCCUAUCAGUAUCUGUUGUCUUCUCUUAAGCACUAAAAACUAAACUUACAAGCCCAAAUGACAAGACACACACACAGGUGGGUUCUUGAAGAGCCUUAGUCUGCUUUUUUCCUGUGUAAGAUAGAAAACAAUGGCUUGUUGUGGAACUAUGGAAUAGAAAUGUUGUAAUCAUGUGGAAAUAAACCCAAACAGAUUUUUAUUCCAUCAGCUUUAGCACAAGAGAAGGAAGUGUUCUUAGCCUAUAAAAAUUAAAAAUCAAGUAAAAUGGAUGUCAAAGUGUCAACUGAAAUAAAGAUUUAGGCUUUCUAUACCUUUCAUGUGGUGUAUUCAUAUACAGAAAAGUGUAGAAAGAGGGUUCCUGUUAAGAGACAGCAUCUGGAUAUGAGUUAGCAAACCAAAAGACAAAGCAGUGUUUGGCGAAAAUGAAGUGUCCUGGUGAAAUACAAAUGCUUUUCUUUAGCUGCAUCAUAAACAAACAAACUUUGUACUGUAGAAUUGCAAAACUUGAAAUUUUAGCAUAUAAACCUUAUGAAAUCUUUGAGGAUGACCUGCCUGGAUACUUACAUUAUAAUUACUGUGUAACCUAGAGGAAGUUUUAACAGAAUGGUUGAAAAAAGUACUGCAUUUGGUUUUGAAAGAGUUUGAUUACCCUUCUGGAAAAAUAAAAAUGAGAGAUUGUUGAAGUACUAAAGCAUGGACAAAAAUAAUAAUUGCUGAAAUAUUUGCUUGGUGGUUGCCUGAUUAAAUAUGUUAUAGAUGAAUGGGUUAAAUACGUUAUAGAUGAAUGUGUGCACAGGCAGGUGACCUGGUUACAACAUGUGUCUCCUGAUCCAUUUCUGAGCAACCUGAUCUGCGUGGGGGACCCACUGAAGCAAGCGGGUGUUGUGGGAGGGAUGGUCAUGCCUGCACAGAUCACAUUGCAGAACCGCAGCCAAACUGCAUGUGGAUGGGACCUAAAUUUGUCCCUCUCGUGCUCUAACAUCAUGGGCUGCUUACACAAAAUAACAUGAGUUAUCUGGUGACGGAUGCAGAAUUGUGAACCUGUUAUUUUACUGUGGCUAGACUACAUUGUGUAGAUUUUUUUGUGCUUUUUCCAAACAUUUAUUCUGAGAGCCCUCAUGUAGAAUAACUAUGUUCUUGUACAGCAAAUUGUGUGGAAGGCUUUUUGUUUUAUUAAAGCCCUAAUUCACUAUAUCCUGAUUCCAUCUAGGGCAUGAAGAUGAUUUGUUGUGUUUUUCUCUGCAUUGAGUUUUAUUUUUUAGGUUAAAGCAUUAAUCCACAAAGUUCUUUUGCUUGUGAUCCCGCUCAUAGCUCAAGAAUUUUGUUUGGCAUAUAUAGAAACAAAUAUUUGAUUAAAUUAAACUUCUGUCCACUUUUAACAUUUUUUUUUUGUCACUGCCAUUUCAAAGUCCUUAGUUUGCUUAACACUCAUUCCUCCACAUAAAGAUCUAAACCUCCACCAACAAAACCACAUGAAAAUAACAUUCGGAUUUUUUAGUAUAAGUUAAGCUUUAAAGAGUAUAAUGGCUGAUAUAUAAAAAGAAUCUUCAGGUAAAUCAGAUCUAGAUAGUAGCAGUAAACAUUUUAAUCUGAAAAUGUAAUAAGAAACGAAACCACUAAGCAUAAGGAAAUGCUCAGUAUGAGGAAAUCAGCCCUGAAGACUUGCAUCAUCUGUCCAAAGUUCUCUUAAAUCAGAAAGCGUUGGCAAAUAAAACAUGAGGAUGUGAACUGAUCUAUCCUAUAGAAAAAAAAUCCAUCUCAAAUGAAAGUGUAACUGCUAAAGUUCUGAUAUUGAGUUCCGAAGCAUAAGAAGAGGAGGGUGCAAUUUGGGGUAAAGUCUGUCAGUCCUGUGCUGGUGUGAUGGAGCAACUAAGUCUUGGCUUGAUGAUUAAAUCUAAACACAAACCCACCUACUGUAAUGCCUGCAAGGAUUUAAAUUCACUGGGUAUAAUUUCAUUACAGAAGAUAAGUAUAACUUGACUUUUUAAGCAGUUUGUGAACAAAGGAACAAUUUAACCAUAAAAAUAUUUGAAUUUUGUGAGUGACCUAGGAGUUUUAUGCAAGUUAGAUUAGAUCUUAAUCUACUAAACAUGUAAAAGCAAUGUUAUUCAGGAAAGCUUAUUCUGCAUGCAAACAGAAUGUCAAAAUUCUUCAACUUGGCAAGCUGCUGUUCUUGGCAUUGUGAUCUCAGUUUUACCUGGAUGAUUAUUUCACGAUUUGAAAUGUCAUGCUUCCUGAGCACAUCACAAGUCUUAGUCUCGUGAUAUGAUAGCAAAGCAGGAGGAGAUUUUUCUGAUGUUUCAUUUAUGAAAUAUCCAUUCACAGGAACCACAUUAAAAUUUGACUGAGAUGCCGCUGAUGGUUAUAUUUUCUCUUCUUGCACAACACACUGAGAAGGAGGAGAUACGGUCAUUUAAGGCAGUUAGUUCUUUAUUCCCAUUGAAAUAUGGGAGAUUUACACAUCACCCGUCCCACAGCCACUAGAACAAUGAUGUCAGAUUUUGUGGAGGAUUUAGGGCUCCAUAAAAAAAAAAUCGAAGAAAGCACAAAAGAGUGUGGGUUGGUAACGGAAUGGUUUAUAAUGGAGGUGGGUUGGCAGCUAUUACAUCUUGCAGUUCUGUGAAAUGACUUGAUUCAUUCUCAUUAACUGCCUUAGCCCACUACUUCUUCUCAAAAGCAACAAAGAGAAACCUUAAUUAGUAUUUCAGAAUCUUGAAAUGUGUUAGUGCAGCCUGUGUCAUCAAGUAUUGGAGUUGAGUCUUGCUGAGUUGAUUACCACUUCAGCUCUUGGAACUGGAGAACUUCAAAAGCUUGAGUUACAAUUUGUGUUGAAAUGGAUGGAAUGAGCGAUCUGCUAUUAUUACAGGGAGAUCUGGGAACCAGUGGUGGCCAAGGAACUGGUGUUGGCGUAGGGUUUGGAGUAGCUUCUUAGAUUUAGCAAUAAAUGUUGUCAUUUUAAUUCAGACAUUCUCUGGGAAAUGGAAUAGUCUGUUCCAAACACUUGCUUUAAGUUCUCUUUGUACUGUCUCCAGAAAUGGGUACAUUCAGUUAUUAUUUUUGCUAGAAAGUUAAAUGGUAAACUAGUAAUAAUAAUGAAAGCAUGUUGAUAUGCUCAUCUUGCUAAGAUAAACAGAAAGUAUAGGCACUGUCUGUUGUAACACAUGAAGACUCUCCGAUGGUUUUAGAUGGUCCUUCUGUUCUCUAUCCAUAGUUCUCUGACACAGGACCUUUUACUGGCAAGAGUAAAUUGGUGAGAAUAACAAUUAUUUCCUGAAGAAGCAACAUUAAUGCACUCAGCGUGUCUUCCUGCCUGUCAGCCUUCCAUGCCUUUCUCCAGGUUUGAAUCUGCUGGCCAGCUCCCAGCAAAGGAGGGCAGUAUGUUUCACAGAUGUGAAUUUGUGACAAAUUGGGUGAAAACGAGCACCUGGAUGAAGGAGGAUGCUCUCUUGCCUCUGAAAGAUGGGCUGAAGCUCUAGAAACAUCUCACGUUUUCUGGAUGCAGCAGGCAGGACCUGGUGCAUGUCAGAGGUAAAGAAACACACCCCUACAGAGGGGUCUUGUGUCCCCCUUCUUUUGUCCUAACUAGGCAGGGUUUAUCCAUAGAUAAAAAGGUUGCUGCUGUCAGACCCAAACUUCCAUCCAUUCUUAUGGUACCUUGAUGCCAUCUUUCCCAUCUAACCUGGUAAAAACAUAAGUUCUGAUAAAAUGGGCAUGGUUUUUGAAGCAAGAGUUCACAUUUCGGAUCAACUGGAGUGCUUUUGAGAAAUCAGUGGUUAUGUGGAAAAGGGUGACCUGGUCGAUGGAGUGUUCCUGGAUUUGUAAAAAGCUUUUGACAAAAUCCUAUAUUAGAUUACUCUGGGCAGUAAAAGCAAGUGAAGAACUACAGAAAUCUCGUAACACUAAAUGACUGGGCAUUUAAGAAGUCAGACUAAGUUCAGUGUUAUUAAACAAAGUCACAUGCAGUGCAAAAGCACACCAAACUCUGCAAACAUAGCGGUGGUUUCUGGGCAAGCCAUUUAUUAGUCAAAAAAGACAUUCUGGAGUUACUGUGAACACUUUUAUGAGAAAAUCAGCAUAAUGCUCAGUGGCUGUAAAGAAAAAGCUUUAGGAGAAGAAUGUUAGCAGAAAGUAAACCAGAAAAUACCCUCAGGUCACUGUGCAAACCCUGGCUGUACAAAGUACCCUGUUCUGGCCAUUCCUCACCUGAAAAACAACAGGCAAAAUAAGAAAUGCAGAUUCAAAGCCUGGAACAGCUUCAUAUGAAGAAAAACUAAACAGACUAAUAAUCCCCUGGGUCUUCUCGAGACAGAAGAGUAUUAGUCUGUCCAUCAGGAUACCACACAGGUUUGUACAACCAUAAAUGGGGAAUAGGCCUCAUUAUUUCUUACGUAUGAGAACUUGUGGGCAUCGAACAAAAUUACUGGGUAACGAGUUUAUGACAGACAAAAGGGAACAACUUAUCACACUGUGCAUGAAUCAGAAAUUGCAGCUGCUGAAUAUUGAUGCCAAACCAUAAUGAGCUUAAAAAGCAGAUUAAUGAGGGGAUGAAAAAACAAUUUAACACUAUUAAACACAGUGAAAUAGCCCAUGACUCAGGAUGUGUGUCUACGAACUGAAGAAAAUGGAGAGCAUACAGAGGGGAAGUAAAGUUGUAUGCGUGCCCAGUUCUUAGUCUUUAUUUCUUACUUUUAGUCUUGUCACAGGAAACUAUUCUUGCAUGUUUCCGCAGCAAAGACUGAGGUCAGGCUUAAAGAACUGAAAGCUUUCCUGGAAAAAAGAAAUGUUUGCGUGGGCUGGAGAGAGAGAAAGGCACGGAGCCCAGGAAUCUGAUGAGAAAAGAGGUGAAUAUCUAAGCUUAAAAAAAAUCAAAAAGAGAAAACCAGAAAGAGAUAGUGAACAAAGCAACACUGAUGCUACCAACCACUCCCUGAAAAGUCCCUGGUGCCCCUGACAUCACCCUAAAUUCCCUUUCCACGCAACUUUCCAUCUUGAAAUACCCUGCUUUUCAGAGGUGUUUGUUUGCUGGGGAUAACCAGAGUGACCCAAUUUCUUCUGAUUUCAGAGCCUGCCAGGCCUCCUGCUGAUACCAUUCCAGCUGCUGAUGACCAAUCCCUCACUCUGUCUUUCCUGGGCAAAUAGGGCUGGAAUCUCCAAGGAUGACCAUUUUUCCAACCCUGUCUCAUCAGACCUUUUAGCAGAUUAAUUCAUAGCACGGUUAUAGGAUUUGAGCAUGUAUUUGGCGAAGCCAAGACAGAAUGAAUCAGACUCUGUGUUCAUCCAUUGCCAUGUUACUGAAAAAGAAAACACAUGGGGGUUGUAGAUAGUGGUAUCAUUAUCUGUCUGAGGAAAUAACAGUUAACGCCUACUGCAUUGUCCUGCAGAGCUCUCCUUCGAGAUUACAAGCUAUCUUUUCUGCUCUUUUUGUUUAAGACAGAUUCUCUUUCUCACUUGAGUUUUUUAAGCUUCCUUAGUUGUUUCUCCCAGUUCUUGGUACUUUGCCCAGCAGAAGGGCAGCUUCUGGUUUUUGUGCUAUAUAUGGCUGUGUUUUCCACCACGCUUAGCCUUCAAAUUGCAAUAUACAAAUGUGGCAAAAUUGACUUUUCCCUCUCCCUGGGGUUUCUCUGAAUUUACAGUCCUAUUGUGUUCCUUAAUUAGAACAUUCUUUCUAUCCUAAAUGGCCUUUUUGACAGUUAAAUUUCCAAGGUUGUUAUGAAGUGUUUAUUUACGGUCAUUGUUUCACCUUCAACUCUUCUUAACUGGACACCUGAUGCAAUAAUAAACCCCACCAAUUUACAGUCCUUGAGUCCCAGUUUAAGUCAGCUGGACCUGCAUUGCUGUAAUCAUGCCCCUGACACAAUUAUACUCAUUAUCCCCGCGUUACUAGGAUAUAAGCAUAAACAACUCGCCAAGUGAAUGCUAGAUAGCUCUGAGCUUGUUCCACGUGAUCCUCUCAAAGGCUUGUUAAUCUGCCGGAUGUCUCUAAAACACCCUGUGGGAGAAGCUGCUGCUUUAGAAAUGUGCCAGAAAGUCUACCAUGCAGAUUCAACGCAUGAAACCAGGCAGCCAGAAGAAAAGUAUAACUAAUUCUUUAGCAGGAGAGAAACGAUUGGUUGCUUGGGGGAAUAUUUAAGUUAGCCUGCCUCUCUUCCAGAGUUCAUAAAUAUUGAAAUAUUUCUGAUCCACGUGUCAAAACAGUGAACAUACAAUCUACCCAAAGAGUUGGCCGUGAUAAACACAACUAUUAUUUGUGCUGAAUGCUGCUUGAAACAAGGUUGAAAACCUAAACAAAGAUUUUUGGCUGAUAUUUGAUUUAUCCUGGGUUGCAAUAGUAGACCUUAUAAUUGUUUGGUUUUUUUUUUAAUAGACGUGGCUAAUUUCUUCUCUUAACUGGAACAACAUGGAAGACCUUACAUGUUGAGCUAAUGCUUUUUCAAAGGAGGAGAGACUGUAGAUAUUUUAGGAUGAAGAGUGCCUGCUCACAGGUUCUAUCCAUCAGUGAUAUCCAAAUGGGCUUCGAAGGCUUUUCUAAAAGAAAAUAUUUAUAAUCUUCUAAUGCAAAGAAGCAUGCUGCUGUGUGUGAUAACCCACUGAAGUCAAUGAGGCUAUUUGUGAAGUGGGAUAUUAUCAAACAAGUUGCUAUUUCACAAUUUGUUCCUAUGCUGAAAGAUAAAUCCUGCCCGGAAAAGUUAUAUAUAGUUGCCAUUUUGAUAACCUAAGAAUUGGAAGGAGACUGGAAUGAGAGAAACUAAUAGACAAACCAGUGAACUGAGAAUGGCACAUGAUAAUGCAGAAGAUGCAUUUACCCCUGAAAAAAAUACCAUCAGCUCCUCAAGUGCUUGUUGUGAGGUGUGCCGGGCUUCGGCUUGGAAAACAGGAGCUGUGCGACAGCAGCUGCUGUGCCCGUGGCUGCAGCUGCCCAGGGACGGCAUUGCCUUCGGUUCCUGGAACGGCGGAAUCCCUGGAAUUGACCUUUGCGACUUCACUCUCAUCACAUGCUCCUCUGCAGCUGGUUUCUGUUUGGCAGGACAGCGAGACAGAAAAAUCCAGCUCAGUGCCUCAAGAGGAAAAAUAAUAAUAAUGGCUCUUUCUCCAAAGAUAGCUGCAUUUAGUUCGUAUCCCAUGAAUUAUUAUUUAUUUCAAAGAGCUAUGAGUAAUUUGCAAAGAAAUCAGCAGUAAGCUCCUAUAAUGAGGCUCAGGUCUAUUAGUUUUUCUCCCUGCGGGCACAAUGAUUUCCAGGCAUAUCUUCAGGAGUUUCAGGUAUGUAGAGGUAAUGGACUGUCAAAGCCAGAUUCUCUUGCGUAAAUGAGACAGCUUUUCUUUCUAAAUCUUAAACAAUAAGGCACCCAAAGAGAACAAAUCCAGGAAGUGGACAAGGAAAACCAAUUUUGCUUUACAUUAACGUAUUUCACCAAGGAGGAUUUCGGUCCUGUUAUUGCACAAACAGCGACUGGCCAUCCUUGUCAGAACAGUAACCCACUAACUAGAUGGGAAAGAGAGAAGGCCAAAUAGUAUCUUGUGAACUGAUGUAAUUAAGGAUGGAUUUAACCACCUGAACUUUCCUGAACAGAACCCCCAGGAAUGCGAAGUGAGGGACUGCAGUAUCGCACAUGUUGCAUCAGCCUUGUCUAUGUAGUAAAGUUCUACAAAUUAUACAGGUGCCCAUGUUAACACUUUAACCCCUUCACAAGGGCCUUUUAUUUCUGCUCCAUAGAGGCUAUACUGAGAAAUGUUCCACUUAUAUUAGAACAUGUGUAUCUAAACAGGCAUUAUAGAAACAGAACAAUAUCAGUGUUCAGUGUAUGUGCUUUAGGUGAUGCUGAACCCGCCUCCUCAUCCAACUUGAACCAUGUAAUAGAGUAUUUUGACAGCCUUACUUUAGGGACCUAAAAUUAGUUACUCUGAAUCACACUUUAGAAGAACCUAUUUUUGUCCUGUACUAUACAGGAAGCUUAAGUUCCUUGGCACGUCAUUCAGAUCAUCACUCUUGCCUCCAUCCUCCAAACAGAUAAGUUCUCUGUGAAAUAGCAGUUUAUGCAAUAGGUAUGUUUCUAAGUUGUAGUCUUCUGUCUCGUGAAAAUGUUAUCUAUAUUUAGGUAGCGUUUCUCUUUUAAUUUUUUUUUUAAUAAGGCAAAGGAUGUCACAUGUCUCCACAUGAGAUUCUCUAGCUACCAUCCAGCAGAGAUGUCUUGUCUUUAAAAUCAAUAUUUCCAUUUCUUUGACUUAAACCUAGUGUAUCCUCACACUUCAGCAGAUUGGUUGGGCUGACUGAUCCUACGACCAUCUUGCUCAUUGUUUCUCAAGAAAGUAAUAGCUGCAGUUGAGUUCCUAGGGGCGGGGGGAGACACGCAGCUGUAAUUACUGCUCUUCACUGUUUACACCAGACAAGAUGCUGCUACUACCCAAAAUCUUCAGAGCAGCUCAGCUUCCCAGGGGCAGGGGAGGAAGCGCUUUCAGAGCAGGCUGUAAUUACAGGCUCUUCGCACGUCCCCCUCCUGAAGGGACGGAGCAGCUCCUUGCAAUGGAAAUAACCUUCUUAGUCUGAAGACUUGCAGAUAGUAAUCACAGACGCUGCUUCUUGGAGAAAGUUGCUCCAUCUUGGCUGAAAGUUGGUGAGCGUGGUUGUGGGAGCUUCUUGGCUCCCUUUGGCAUCUUUCAGUGCCUGCUUUGGGUGACUGAGCAAUUUAGAAACGGGGAUGGGAGAAAGUCUGAGGAUUCCCAUCACUAACUGCAUCAAAAAGCAAGUUAUUCCUGUGUAUUUUUGUAGUGUGGCUCUUUGAGGUUUGGGGGAGUCACAGAUGGGGUGUUCUCUUCCACAUUGUAAAAUAUAUGGAGGUCUGUCACCCAAAAAAUUUAACUUUUGCCUUAGGUCAGUAGGGAGGGAUGAGUUGCUAAGCAAAAUGUCUAUAUAGGAAAAGUGGUUGCUUGAGAGCCAAGACAGGAAAAACCACAGUUAAGGCUGAGUGACAAGUUUCCCAAAUAGCGAUGACAGUGCUGGUGUCAGUUGACCCGAGGCAGCAAGCAAGCCGUCCAACAAGGGAACGUGUGAACAACACGCAGCGUGACUUACACCGCGGCGAACAGUCACCAUUUCUCAUGAAUGGAAAUUUGUAUCUUUUUCACAACUACAACCCUUGGAUUCAUCAAUUCUCAAGAUGUAAUGCCAAAAACAACAGGUGGCAACUGUAUUUGGGUUGCUCUCAAUUCAUAUUCCUCCUACUUAAUAAGAGAGGAAAAAGCUGUUGAUGCAAGUGGCACAGACGGGCUGUGUGUUAUGAAAGCUUCGUCAUAUGACUCGGGAACCAAAUGUGCUUUUACACACUGCUGCAGCCAAAACAUAUUGCAAACCUGAGGAACAAAUUUAUUUUUGACUCACUUGGCAAAAUGUAGCUUUUUUUUUUUCCUUUUAAAUAGCAGAAUGCCAGCAUACAGGGGUAAAGGAUUAGUUUUUUAAUAAUUACUAAAUGUAAUUAGUAAAUUAGUCAAUAUGCAGAAAAUACGUUGAAAAUGCAAAUGCAGUAUUUAUGUUUUCUAUUGUAAUUACAAAUGGCCUUAGAACCUCCUAUUGCCUUGUUUCAGCUUCUGAAAGCACCAGCCGCAUUGCUGAGAAGGAGGAAGUCGCUUUAGCACACCAACUGCCAGAGGUGCUGAUGGCAGAUUUUGCGCAUUUUUCCCCAAAAAGUAAGUGUUUCAUUCCGGUGGAGGGCACUUGUGUGUCUGAGCUACAACAGUCUCAGGUGAGGAGGCUGCUUUGGAUGAAAUAGGCUCCCUGAGGUCAGAGGUGUUUCUUCGCUUUGCAAAAUACUUAGAAACCUGUGUCGAAUCAAGCUUCGGUUUUAGUUUGGGUUAGAAAGUGCAGAAAAUGCAGGAAUAUUUUUUUAAGUGAUGUAGCUGUAAAGCAACAAAAUGCAGCUUUUAAGUUCCUUAUGUAUCUGCCAACUUCAGUUGCAGAAAAUUGGAUUAUAGUUUUCAUAUAUUUUUCUCCAAGUCCAAACAAACUCUGCACACUUCAAAUUCAAUAAACACUUUCCCACAUUGGAAAUGGCACUUUGGACAAACCACUACUGCAAUUAAGUAGGAAAGAAGAAUUUCCCAUAAAUCAUAGAGGAUAAGUAAUUUUAGACUUUUCAGUUUCAAGACAUAUAUUUUCACUUUACCUUUAAACAUGAAUAUUUUUUAUUGCAGCUUCUGGGCCAGUUAUCCAAUCUAUCCUUGUCUGAAAUGAUGAUAAAACCAUUAGUUUCACAGUGUUUAGUGACACCUUUUGCUUAUUCCCAUUUUCACCAAGAGAACACUAAACCAAGAUUUGCUUUAUCCCCAUGGAAAUUGGAUUGUAAUCAAGUAUCACUUUUAGUUCAGGCCAGAAAGGCCAGAAAUUCAUGUAUGAAUUGUUUUGCAUAAUGUAGGUAGAAGGCAAUAAAAUGUCCUUUUAAA